rnacentral:rRNA from 1 species
UACGGAGGGUGCAAGCGUUAUCCGGAUUCACUGGGCUUAAAGGGUGCGUAGGUGGGCUGGUAAGUCAGUGGUGAAAUCUCCGGGCUUAACCCGGAAACUGCCAUUGAUACUAUCUGUCUUGAAUACCGUGGAGGUGAGCGGAAUAUGUCAUGUAGCGGUGAAAUGCUUAGAUAUGACAUAGAACACCAAUUGCGAAGGCAGCUCACUACACGAAUAUUAACACUGAGGCACGAAAGCGUGGGGAUCAAACAGG